rnacentral:rRNA from 1 species
AGAGUUUGAUCAUGGCUCAGAACGAACGCUGGCGGCAGGCUUAACACAUGCAAGUCGAACGGUUGUAGCAAUACAGCAGUGGCAGACGGGUGAGUAACACGUGGGAACCUUCCUAGGGGUACGGAACAACUCAGGGAAACUUGAGCUAAUACCGUAUACGUCCGUGAGGAGAAAGUUUUAACGCCCCUAGACGGGCCCGCGUAGGAUUAGGUAGUUGGUGAGGUAACGGCUCACCAAGCCUACGAUCCUUAGCUGAUCUGAGAGGAUGAUCAGCCACACUGGGACUGAGACACGGCCCAGACUCCUACGGGAGGCAGCAGUGGGGAAUCUUGGACAAUGGGCGCAAGCCUGAUCCAGCCAUGCCGCGUGAGUGAAGAAGGCCUUCGGGUUGUAAAGCUCUUUUACCAGGGACGAUAAUGACUUACCGGAGAAUAGACCC